UAGAGCAAGAAAAGAAAACUGAAAAAUCAUUGCCACCAGUCCAGACAAGAGAACAAGAAAAUAAAAGUACUCCUGAUGCUGAAGAUAAUGAAGAAAUAGAAGAAGAAACAGAUGAUGGCCCAUUGCUGGUUCCUCGAGUUAAAGUGGCUGAAGAUGGUUCUAUUAUUUUGGAUGAAGAAAGUUUAACUGUAGAAGUUUUAAGAACAAAAGGCCCUUGUGUUGUUGAGGAGAAUGACCCCAUAUUUGAGCGUGGCUCUACAACUACAUAUUCCAGCUUUAGGAAAAACUAUUACUCUAAACCAUGGUCAA